GGAGAAAGGAAAGAGAUGGAUAGCUGGAUUGAAAGAAAAGAAGAGAAAUGAGGGUAAGGGGCGGCUAAUCAGAGAAGAAAAGGGGAGGAUGUGAACCAAUGGGAGGGGAGAGUAAGGAAAGAAAAGAGAUGGGGGUGAGAAACACCCAACAUGAUUUCCCCCUUCUGUGACUCGUGUACCCAUGACCUGACCCGCCUUUUGUGACUAUUCUGACGGCUAUUCCAUCCAAUUUUCUGGCUUUCUUCAACCUCUCAUCACCACCAAACUUCAUCACCACAUCACAACAUCCAAUUCUAUCUAAAAUCGACGAAAAUUGAUUGUGAUUUCACAAGGGUUUUACACCUUGGGUGCAGCGAGGAACCAUGCCGAGAUCCACCAAAUGUGAAACGUUUUCCUCCAAUUAUCACCACCAAUGGAACAAAGCCCAAACAACAUUGGAGGCGGCAGAGCAUCAGAGGUGACGGAUCGAAGUCACCCAAAUCAAGGGUUUCCGGCGGUUCGUGGGCAAUUUGAGGUGUUUCCCGAUCAAAUUGGACUUGGCCACAGAGAUCCGGCCGUCGGAUUUUGAUGAGAAUUUAGUAUGUUGUUCUAUGAGCAUAAUGUGGACCUUAGGAAGUUACAGAUAUGAAAUACGAUGUGCGUAUCUUCCGAAUUAAAUUGUAAGGGUGUGGACCCCGCUAUUGAUGUUUGGUCAACAGGUCUUGAACCAUUUGAAUUACUAAAAUUAGUAUUACUAGAGAUUCGGUGAAGCUUUACGGACUUGUCUCAGUGAGUGACUUUAAUAUAUGUGAUAUGGUGAUUACCCGAUUCUUUA